AUACGUAGGGGGCAAGCGUUAUCCGGAUUUACUGGGUGUAAAGGGUGCGUAGGUGGCAUGUUAAGUUAGAUGUGAAAUCCCAAGGCUCAACUUUGGGCGUGCAUCUAAAACUGGCAAGCUAGAGUGCAGGAGAGGAAAGUGGAAUUCCUAGUGUAGCGGUGAAAUGCGUAGAUAUUAGGAGGAACACCAGUAGCGAAGGCGGCUUUCUGGACUGUAACUGACACUGAGGCACGAAAGCGUGGGUAGCGAACAGGAUUAGAUACCCUGGUAGUCCACGCCGUAAACGAUGAAUGCUAGGUGUUGGCCCUUGCGGGGGUCAGUGCCGCAGUUAACACAUUAAGCAUUCCACCUGGGGAGUACGUUCGCAAGAAUGAA
rnacentral:rRNA from 1 species